GAGUAAUUAUAUACCUGCUUUUGUUGGUUCGAAAGUUUUUUUAGUAAAUACUUAAGUAUAUGAGCGUGAAAACGGUGAUUUUCUUUACAGGUCGAUGUCCACCCAGGGAUGUAUAACUCGGCUUAUUAUUUGUGGAAUAUUUUUGCUAACAGAGUUCGCUGCAGCAUGGCAGGAAUAUCUGACGUUUAACAACUGCUACAAUAUAUACAGGGUAACUGAAAGGCAUUCGUACCUGCUGUCUUGGACAGGACACAGUCAAAAUCCAGGAUGUCGGGUGUCUUUUCACGGUUACGAUUCGUUUUACCCGGAAGAUAAAUAUCAAAUAUGUAUAACUGUGACAAAUUGGACUAUCGAGAACUCUGAACUCAGUUUAACAUAUUACUCAGGUAGAGGGCUUUACCAAGAAGCGCUUAAGAAGGAAUAUAUGCAGAGUGACAAUCCAGUUCAACAGUGGUGCUCAGAACAAGAUGAAUUUGUCGAUAUUUUACUGAAGACAACUAGACCAAGUCCUAUGAAAAGUUAUAUAAAAGUACAGGUUACUGGUACGAGGACUUUUAAACAUCUGAACUACAGAGAAACGACUAGUGCCGUUAUAGGAGGAAUCAUAGGAGUUGUCAUUCUAUGUUCGAUAGCUGUCUUCUGCAGAAGAUGGGGGAACUAUUGCAGAAAAAUGGCUACGAAUUCUAGUGCAAAUGAUACAGCAAUAUACACAGUACAAUCUAGACAUCAACAACAAGAAGGUUUAAGUAAUCCAGGACAAUCAACAGAAUCAACAGACCCACCUCCUUAUGACAAUAUUUUACAGAAUUAUGAUAAUCCACCACCUUAUUCUGAAAUAUAUAUUAAAGAGGGACCACAUUCUCCAUCACUGAUGAUAUAAUAUAAGUUUACGCUAUGUCGGGGAUAUCAUAGCAGUUUACUCCAUGUUACUGACAUAGUACCAGUAACAGAUCACACAUGACGAAGAUUUAAAUCAGUUUACUCUUUUGCCAAAGAUACAAUAUCAAUAUAUUCUAUACCAAGGAUAUAGUAUCAGUUUACUCUAUGUCGAGGAUAUAGUAUCAGUUUACUCUAUGUCAAGGAUAUAAAAUAUCAGUUUACUCUAUGUCGAGGAUAUAGUAUCAGUUUACUCUAUGUCAAGGAUAUAAAAUAUCAGUUUACUCUAUGCCGAGGAUAUAAUAUCAGUUUACUCUAUGCCGAGGAGACAGUAUCAGUAUAUUCUAUAUCAAGGAUAUAAUAUCAGUUUACUGUAUGCCAAAGAUACAAUAUCAGUUUACUUUAUGCCGAGGAUAUAAUAUAAGUUUACUCUAUGCCAAAGAUACAACAUAAGUUUACUCUAUGCCGAGGAUAUACUAUCAGUUUUACAUAAAGCCGAGCAUAUGAUAUAAGUUUUACUCAACGCCAAUGUUAUUAUAUCAGUUGUUUAUCAGAUUAUAUAGAUUUAUAG